UGACCGGUGUCUGCAGAGCCAGGGGUAC
rnacentral:piRNA from 1 species